rnacentral:rRNA from 1 species
CCUACGGGAGGCAGCAGUGGGGAAUAUUGCGCAAUGGGCGAAAGCCUGACGCAGCGACGCCGCGUGUGGGAUGACGGCCUUCGGGUUGUAAACCACUGUCGGGAGGGACGAAUGCGCCGCAAGGCGAGUGACGGUACCUCCAGAGGAAGCACCGGCUAACUCCGUGCCAGCAGCCGCGGUAAUACGGAGGGUGCGAGCGUUGUCCGGAAUCACUGGGCGUAAAGGGCGCGUAGGCGGCCUGGUAAGUAGGGGGUGAAAUCCUGCGGCUUAACCGCAGGGCUGCCUUCUAAACUGUCAGGCUCGAGCACAGUAGAGGCAGGUGGAAUUCCCGGUGUAGCGGUGGAAUGCGUAGAGAUCGGGAAGAACAUCAGUGGCGAAGGCGGCCUGCUGGGCUGUUGCUGACGCUGAGGCGCGACAGCGUGGGGAGCAAACAGGAUUAGAUACCCUGGUAGUCCACGCCGUAAACGAUGGGCACUAGGCGUCGGGGGGAGCGACCCUCCCGGUGCCGUCGCUAACGCAGUAAGUGCCCCGCCUGGGGAGUACGGCCGCAAGGCUGAAACUCAAAGGAAUUGACGG